rnacentral:rRNA from 1 species
GUCCAGACUCCUACGGGAGGCAGCAGUGGGGAAUAUUGCACAAUGGGGGAAACCCUGAUGCAGCAACGCCGCGUGAGUGAAGAAGUCAUUCGUGAUGUAAAGCUCUAUCAGCAGGGAAGAAAAUGACGGUACCUGACUAAGAAGCCCCGGCUAACUACGUGCCAGCAGCCGCGGUAAUACGUAGGGGGCAAGCGUUAUCCGGAUUUACUGGGUGUAAAGGGAGCGUAGACGGCAUGGCAAGCCAGAUGUGAAAUACCGGGGCUCAACCCCGGGACUGCAUUUGGAACUGUUAAGCUGGAGUGUCGGAGAGGCAGGCGGAAUUCCUAGUGUAGCGGUGAAAUGCGUAGAUAUUAGGAGGAACACCAGUGGCGAAGGCGGCCUGCUGGACGAUAACUGACGUUGAGGCUCGAAAGCGUGGGGAGCAAACAGGAUUAGAUACCCUCGUAA